CGUAGGGUGCGAGCGUUAAUCGGAAUUACUGGGCGUAAAGCGUGCGCAGGCGGUUUAGUAAGACAGGCGUGAAAUCCCCGGGCUCAACCUGGGAACUGCGCUUGUGACUGCUAAGCUAGAGUACGGCAGAGGGGGGUGGAAUUCCACGUGUAGCAGUGAAAUGCGUAGAGAUGUGGAGGAACACCAAUGGCGAAGGCAGCCCCCUGGGUCGAUACUGACGCUCAUGCACGAAAGCGUGGGUAGCAAACAGGAUUAGAUACCCUGGUAGUCCACGCCCUAAACGAUGUCAACUAGGUGUUGGGAGGGUAAAACCUUUUAGUACCGGAGCUAACGCGUGAAGUUGACCGCCUGGGGAGGUACGGCCGCAAGGUUA
rnacentral:rRNA from 1 species